GGGCGAUCGAUGGCCGGCGAGUAAUCGGUGGGUCGAAGGGCCUGUUUCCCUUGCUGUGGUGGUCGCU